ensembl:lncRNA
AUGUCUUCCAGGCAGCGGGGGGUCCGUCUCAUCCCUCCCCAUCCAGAUGACUUACUACCCCCUCACCGGGUCUGUGUCCGCUACAAAGAAAGACAAGGACAGAAGAGCUGUUUGGAGUCUCCUCGCUGGCUUGCAGGUGAACUGAGUGCGACUGUUAUCGGGAUAAUUAUCAGAUGUGCUCUUCCUCUCCGCCUCACUUCUCCUCCUGCAGGAAAACAGGAAGGCAGGAUUAGAGCGACGCGCUGCGCUGAGAUCCGGAGAGGCCCGGUGGUUUCUGUGUCCCUUCUCUUUAGCUACUGCAGAGCGAAGCUUUAGAUUAAUGAACGCUGACGAUGACGGAUUGGUUCAUUUCUGCACGACGAACCGAGCCACAGAAACCCGAACGGAUCCGACCCAACCAGAG